AGAUUUUCAAAUUCUACAACAUCAUAAUUGAUAGCAUUAUAUUGGCUAUCAUCUUCUUCAUCCUCUGACACUUCAUCAAUUAGGGUGGAUCGGCUUGAACUUGCUACCCCUUUUCCCUUGUACGUUGAACUUGAAGAACUCGCUCUAAGUCCAUAGAUGUUCUCCUCAACUCCAACGGCCAUAGAACGGUACCCCAAUCAAGAUCAUCUCCUUCAUACACUUGUUCAUCUUCAUGAUUUUGGGGGGAUCCAGUUAACCAUUCAUUUGCCUCAUCAAUAUUGUCCAACAAAAUUGGAUCAAUAGUAUCGUGAGCUUCAUAACAUCGCCUCAAUGUUCUAUUGUACUUAAUAUAAACUAGAUCAUUGAGACGCGAUAGCUCAAGCCUAUUCUUUUUCUUCAAGUGAAUCUGCGCAUUAAGUUAUUUAGAUUAAUUAGUAAGUAUUAAUAAUAAUAUAAUACAAUAUAGAAUAUAUUAAUAUAACAAAUGUACUUCUUACAUGCUCAAACACGCUCAUUUUUCUCUCGCAUCCAGAUGCACUACAAGUUAGGCUUAAUACUUUGAUGGCAAACUUUUGCAAGUUUGGAGUUUGACUUCCAAAUUGCUUCCACCAUUCAACUAUAGAAAAAUAUUUUAAAAUUUAAUUAAGUAUAAAUCAAAUAAAUUAAAUUAAAGUUAUAAGGAGAUCUAUAUUAAAGUUAUUUACCUGGCGACCUUUUGUCUCUGGCUCUAAUGGCAGCCGGUAAACCAAAUAGGUCAUCUGCUUGUUCGUACUUACCAAACUCCUCCCCUAUUAGAUCUAUCGUCGCUGAAUUAGGGAUCAACUUCUCAAGACAUGCAUAGUAUCUAAUCCAUACCUCUGAAGCGAAAGUUUCCUGACUAGUGUUCUUGUAAAAUAAUCCCGGGUUCAAAAGAUGGCCUGCUACAUGCAAAGGUCGAUGGAAUCGCUGAAUUAAGGAUCAACUUCUCAAGACAUGCAUGGUAUCCAACCCACACCUCUGGAGCCAAAGUUUCCUGACUAGUGCUUGUAAAAUAAUCCCGGGUUCAGAAGAUGGCCUGCUGCAUGCAAAGGUCGAUGGAGUUGCUU
rnacentral:lncRNA from 1 species